CCGCAUACUCGCCGGACUUUUACGGGCUUGUCUCUUUUGCGGGUCUGCUAGAGUUGCUCUGAUGAAUAAACACAAAAAGUUUCUGGGCACCUGCUUUGCUAGACUUUAGAAACUCCUGCCGGGCAUAUUCUUGGACAGGUGUAACAGUUUACUCCCGUAGCCGCAGUGAGUGAUCAAAUCUUGUUUUGGGUGCACAUCAGACGAACUGUUUAACCGAGAAUACUCUUUGGAUUCCCACAUUCUCGUGAAAACGGAGUAGCUUACACAAGGAACCAACCGCCAUCACUGUAUGUUGCAAUCUAACGCGCGCGCUAGGCCAUUCCGUCUUCGUCCGGCCCACUGUAGCCGUAGCAGCACGGAUAGCUAGUCUCGACUCGGGUCGACUCCGGGCACUGGUGGCAGGGUACCCCAUGAAGCCGACGGAGAGCGACCGGCGUGGCCACCCCGGUGGAAAAAAGGCAGCCCGUGGCACGUCCGGGUAGACGGACGGGCGGACGAAGAGGAUGUCCAAGGUGAACAGGCAAAGCCGCUGUUCUGUUUGGACUUGAGUGAAGAAGCCGCCCAACGAGACGGAUCGAUUCCGAUUCGAUUCGGUGGUCACUCGCCCGGCCGGAUCAGUCGCUCCUUGGACGCGUUCGGUCGAGAUCGGCACUGUGCGCUUGGAUCGGGCGGACCGCGCCGCGCGGGGACCUCGCCUCCGUCGCCUUCCCCGGCCGGGCCGGCGAGCCCCACGACCGGACGCCCAACCGCAAGGCGCUGAAACCGCACGUACGUACGCACGUCACGCAGGGAGGCUCGUGCCCUUCAGCCAGCCAUGUCCGUGCGGUCGAUCGGGCCCGGGGCAUUCCGUUCCGGUGGCGGCAUGGGCGCGCACAGUGCGCCCGUCCAUCGGCCAUCCGUGUCGCCCGUCCGUCCGUGCGGUGCGCGCGGCGCGCCCGGUGGCGGUGGUUGCGGGGCGCGCGUCCGGGCCACGGCACUACGCGCGCGGCGUGGUGGAUCCGGGCGCCC
rnacentral:lncRNA from 1 species